GUCUGAGAACACACUUUUUAAAAACUGCAUUUAUAUGGAUUGUUCUUGAACUUUUCCAAAAAGGAGUACUCUCAAAAUACCAAUAUAGUUGGGAAAAGGCAUUAUCCCCAAAGGGAAAAGUUUCCACAGACACAGCAAAGCCAUUGUCCAAUCUUUGCUCAGAGGGAGCCUCAUUCCGCCCAGGGAGAAAAGAAAGUGCCAAGUGUCUGAGGCUGUUGUUCCCGAACAUCUUUUCAGUAAAUAAAGGGCUUCCAAAUUUAGAAUUUAGGUGCUGAGUUUGAAAAGAAGGCACAGCAGAGGCAGACAGUUCUGUGUGUCUGCCUUUUCUUUUCCUUUCCUUCUUCACCUGGGCAGCAGUAGAGGAAGGCUCACUGCAGGCCGGGAGGCUCUGAGGCCCCAGGUGGUAGCGCCAAGGAGUUUCCUUCUUCCUCUGCAACUGUCCCUCUUUCUGCCAUUCACAAAGCACUUUCCAUUCUGCCUCGAUGUCACCUCAGUGAGAUCACCUGCCAUUAGGUGAUGCUCCUUAUCUUUCUACUUGGCUAGUGAUCCCUUUUAAGGGAAGUUCGCCCAUGCAUGUAUCUAACAAACACUCCUUAAGUGACUACUGUGUGCUGAACAGGGCUUCCCUGGUGGCUCAGUGGUAAAGAAUCCACCUGUGAAUGCAGCAGAUGUGGGUAUGGUUGGGAACAUCCCCUGGAGAAGGGAAUGGCAACACACCCUAGUGUUCUUGUCUGGGAAAUCCCAUGGACAGAGGACCCUGGUGGGCUAUGGUCCAUGGAGUUGCAAGAGUCUGACACGAUUUACGGACUGAACACAUGUGCUGAGCACUGUGAUGGAUGACCAAGCAUGUGAGCAAGAGGCAGCCUAUGCUCCAGGAGCUCGGAUCUAGUAGAGAAGACCCAUGCACGUAGAGAAGACACAGUGUGUCUUGAGUGCUCUGAAAAAAGUAAAAUUGUUAGUGGCUCAGUUGUAUCCAACUCUUCGCAGCCCCAUGAACUAUAG
rnacentral:lncRNA from 1 species